CACAACUAAAAUAAAGAAUAAAAAAAAAAAAUAUCCUAACUAACCCCCUCCCCCUAAUACCUGUCAUUUACUUGUCAGAGCACUCUGAAUGGUUGGCUUAAACCAACCAAUCAGAGCGCUCUGAGCCUAAAUGCAGGGCGUGGGAAGACUUUAUAAGUCUUUCCCUGCCCUGCGGAGCUUAUUCUGCGCCUUGAACUCGCUGAGUGAAGAAGGAUUAUUUUUUAUUGUCUGGAUUUUUUUUUUUUUUUGCUCUCGGGAUUUUUUUUAAUUUUAACUGUUGCAACGGGUAUUAUGGAUUUUUAUUUGGCCUUUUUGGGGGCUGAAGAAAGUAAAGAAGACAUCUAAUGGUAAGUAUGACAUUUUAUUUUACGAGGUUAGUUUAUUGCCCCCACUCACUAUUAUAAGGGUGAAGGGUAAAGGGGGG